UACGUAGGGUCCGAGCGUUGUCCGGAAUUACUGGGCGUAAAGAGCUCGUAGGUGGUUUGUCGCGUUGUUCGUGAAAACUCACAGCUCAACUGUGGGCGUGCGGGCGAUACGGGCAGGCUAGAGUUCGGUAGGGGAGACUGGAAUUCCUGGUGUAGCGGUGAAAUGCGCAGAUAUCAGGAGGAACACCGGUGGCGAAGGCGGUUCUCUGGGCAGUUACCUGACGCUGAGGAGCGAAAGCAUGGGGAGCGAACAGG
rnacentral:rRNA from 1 species